UACAGAGGGUGCGAGCGUUCAUCGGAAUUACUGGGCGUAAAGCGUGCGUAGACGGUCAUGUAAGUCGGAUGUGAAAGCCCCGGGCUCAACCUGGGAAUUGCAUUCGAGACUGCAUGGCUUGGGUGCGGAAGAGGGAAGCGGAAUUUCCGGUGUAGCGGUGAAAUGCGUAGAUAUCGGAAGGAACACCAGUGGCGAAAGCGGCUUCCUGGUCCGACACCGACGUUCAGGCACGAAAGCGUGGGGAGCAAACAGG
rnacentral:rRNA from 1 species